rnacentral:rRNA from 1 species
UACGUAGGGUGCAAGCGUUGUCCGGAAUUAUUGGGCGUAAAGAGCUUGUAGGCGGUUUGUCGCGUCUGCUGUGAAAUUUCGGGGCUCAACCCCGAACUUGCAGUGGGUACGGGCAGACUAGAGUGUGGUAGGGGAGACUGGAAUUCCUGGUGUAGCGGUGAAAUGCGCAGAUAUCAGGAAGAACACCCGUGGCUAAGGCGGCUCUCUAGUACGGUACUGACGCUGAGACGCGAAAGCGUGGGGAGCGAACAGG